AUUGAACGCUGGCGGCAUGCUUUACACAUGCAAGUCGAACGGCAGCGGGGGCUUCGGCCUGCCGGCGAGUGGCGAACGGGUGAGUAAUGCAUCGGAACGUACCCAGUCAUGGGGGAUAACGUAGCGAAAGCUACGCUAAUACCGCAUACGCCCUGAGGGGGAAAGCGGGGGAUCGCAAGACCUCGCGUGAUUGGAGCGGCCGAUGUCGGAUUAGCUAGUUGGUGGGGUAAAGGCCUACCAAGGCGACGAUCUGUAGCUGGUCUGAGAGGACGGCCAGCCACACUGGGACUGAGACACGGCCCAGACUCCUACGGGAGGCAGCAGUGGGGAAUUUUGGACAAUGGGCGCAAGCCUGAUCCAGCCAUGCCGCGUGCGGGAAGAAGGCCUUCGGGUUGUAAACCGCUUUUGUCAGGGAAGAAAUCUUCUGGGUUAAUACCUCGGGAGGAUGACGGUACCUGAAGAAUAAGCACCGGCUAACUACGUGCCAGCAGCCGCCGUAAGAC
rnacentral:rRNA from 1 species